UUCCGGUUGAUCCUGCCGGAGGCCACUGCUAUUGGAAUCCGACUAAGCCAUGCGAGUCGAGAGGGUUCGGCCCUCGGCGGACGGCUCAGUAACACGUGGAUAACCUACCCUUAGGUGGGGGAUAACCUCGGGAAACUGAGGAUAAUACCCCAUAGUUCUAGGAGGCUGGAAUGCACCUAGAAUGAAAGCUCCGGCGCCUAAGGAUGGGUCUGCGACCUAUCAGGUAGUAGUCAGGGUAACGACCUGACUAGCCUACGACGGGUACGGGUUGUGAGAGCAAUAGCCCGGAGAUGGACUCUGAGACACGAGUCCAGGCCCUACGGGGCGCAGCAGGCGCGAAACCUCCGCAAUGCGCGAAAGCGCGACGGGGGGAUUCCAAGUGCUGGCUCGUAAGAGUCAGCUGUUCCCGAGCCUAAAAAGCUCGGGAAGUAAGGGCUGGGUAAGACGGGUGCCAGCCGCCGCGGUAAUACCCGCAGCUCGAGUGGUGGCCGCUAUUAUUGGGCCUAAAACGUCCGUAGCCGGUCUGGUAAAUGCCUGGGUAAAUCGUGAGGCUUAACCUUACGAAUUUCCGGGUAGACUGCCAGACUUGGGACCGGGAGAGGCCAGAGGUACUCCGGGGGUAGGGGUGAAAUCCUGUAAUCCUCGGGGGACCACCAGUGGCGAAGGCGUCUGGCCAGAACGGGUCCGACGGUGAGGGACGAAGCCCUGGGGCGCAAACCGGAUUAGAUACCCGGGUAGUCCAGGGUGUAAACGCUGCUCGCUUGAUGUUAGGUGGGCUCCGGGCCUACCUAGUGUCGGAGAGAAGUUGUUAAGCGAGCUGCCUGGGGAGUACGGCCGCAAGGCUGAAACUUAAAGGAAUUGGCGGGGGAGCACAGCAACGGGUGGAGCGUGCGGUUUAAUUGGAUUCAACGCCGGAAAGCUCACCGGGGGAGACUGCCGUAUGUGGGUCAGGCUGAAGACCUUACCCGAACAAAAGGUAGAGAGGUGGUGCAUGGCCGCCGUCAGUUCGUACCGUAGGGCGUUCUGUUAAGUCAGACAACGAACGAGACCCCUGCCCCUAGUUGCUACUUGUCUCUCCGGAGGCAAGGCACACUAGGGGGACCGCUGGCGAUAAGUCAGAGGAAGGAGGGGGCAACGGUAGGUCAGUAUGCCCCGAAUCCCCCGGGCUACACGCGCGCUACAAAGGCUGGGACAAUGGGUUCCGACUCCGAGAGGGGAAGGUAAUCCCGAAACCCAGCCGUAGUUCGGAUCGAGGGUUGAAACUCACCCUCGUGAAGCCGGAAUCCGUAGUAAUCGCGGGUCAACAUCCCGCGGUGAAUAUGCCCCUGCUCCUUGCACACACCGCCCGUCAAGCCAUGCGAGUUGGGUCUGAGUGAGGGUGUAGUUCUUGCUACACUCGAACUUAGGCUCAGCAAGCGGGGCUAAGUCGUACCAAGGUAGCCA
rnacentral:rRNA from 1 species